rnacentral:lncRNA from 1 species
CGUAGUAGGGUGCAGCCUGCAGGCACAUGCAAGCCCACGGACGUGUGGCCUAGGCCUGCAACCCAAGCGCGCACAUGACGCAUGGCCCAGGUAUGGGCGCGCAUGGCCAGUUCGAAUUUCUAUCGUGGUCCAUGGUGGACUGCGGGAGGAAUUCGUAGUCCAUGCAACCGUCGUGGACCGACAUGGUGCACAGAGAAAAAAUCAUGGCUCACGGCUAUUCUUUGCACGAUCGAA